UGCGGAGGGGGCUAGCGUUGUUCGGAAUUACUGGGCGUAAAGCGCACGUAGGCGGCUUUGUAAGUUAGAGGUGAAAGCCCGGGGCUCAACUCCGGAAUUGCCUUUAAGACUGCAUCGCUAGAAUUGUGGAGAGGUGAGUGGAAUUCCGAGUGUAGAGGUGAAAUUCGUAGAUAUUCGGAAGAACACCAGUGGCGAAGGCGACUCACUGGACACAUAUUGACGCUGAGGUGCGAAAGCGUGGGGAGCAAACAGG
rnacentral:rRNA from 1 species